UCCGCCAGAUGUUACUAGGACGCCACAACCAUUCGCUGACACAGUUCUAUCUUUCGUAAUUUUUAAUUUUUGUUGGAUUAAUGUAUAUUACAGUAUAAUAAUCUUGUUAUGCACUUAAAGACCUUCGUUGUUGAAGCGAAGUAGUAACAUAACAGCAUUUCCCGCCGCCUGCUUGUCACCAGUUGAUGUAUACUUAGAUCUACCACUGGCCCAUGGAUGAUCCCAGGGAAGGCCAAGCAAGCAGGUUUCCUUGAUAGUUCUGGUCACCCUACACCAGACUGAGGAGCAUCCAGCCUACCAGUUGUUGGGUGAAACCAGGACGGGAUGUCUCCCCACCUCUAUUCACCACUGGAUAUAAUGGCGAUUCUAGCACAUCAAGCCAUUAUAUGAUCUGAUAGGCUGUGAUGGCAUUUGAAGACCUUCUGCAACUGGUAAAGACAUUUAUUCUAAUACUUACUGUAUUAAGGAUUAAAAAGUGGAUUCAUCUGAUCUCCAACAUAUAUUUUACUUCGACUCGGUUGGAACCAAGGAUGGUCUUAUUAAUCCCUCGAGUAUAAUGACUAAACUUCUUGUAUGUGAUGUCUUAACCCUUUCAAUAUGACACUAUAUUCUCUUCAUUACAAUGGCAAUUGUACUUAAAGAGGGUGAUCAUUGUGCUGAAGGAAUUAAUGCCUGGAGUUUUAAUCACCCUCUUCUGUUGAUGGGGGCAUCGUGUUUGCAACCAGUUUUAAAAAAUUGGAGUCACAAAGGACACCACACUAGUGCUUAACGGGGAGGUGUGGCAGUAAAAUUAAGUUAUAUUUUAAUUAUAUCAUUUUUACUGCCACACUUUCCUGUCAAGCACUAUAAUAAUGUCCUUCAUGACAAAUUUUUUUUUAAACUGGUGAUUAAAACUCUGGGUUUAAGUCAUUGUACUCGAGGGGUUAUGUCAUGAAAACUAUGGGGUUAAGAUAUCUUAAAGGGUUAAUUCACUGUUCUCAAAAGGGUUAUUUUAAUCAUACUUGAGAGGGUAAUUCAUUGUACCUGUACUCAAGGGGUCAAUGAAGUAAAAUUGAACAGCUUAACAAGUUCCCUUGAAAUAUUGGUAAACAUCCAAUCCCAGAGGUUUAUAAUACAGAUGUUCUAAGAUUACCUACAUUAUAAAUUGUGAAAAAUAAAAAGGAAAAUAUCCUCAAGCUGAGCUUACAGUGGGCAACAUAGAUGUCCUCUCGCCAACUAGUUUAUAGGAAAGAAUGAGAUCACAGGUGACAAUGCACUACGGUAGUUGCCAUUUAAAAAAAAAAUUCAGGGCAGGAUGUAUGCAUCAUUUUACAUGCUAUGUAAAAAUAUAUUUAUUUUCCCCCGUAGGAUUUGAAUCCACAUCCUAAUCGUACUACCGCCUGGGAAGAUAUUGAAAGCAUAAUGUUUUGUUCAAUGGUAGACCCUGCCGCCAUAUGGUACCACAAAAAUUGUGACCAAGUCCCAUGUUGCCAAUCUGACUUUCUGCCUCAUUUACACACAAUUGACAACACGACAUACAUAUAUGGUUUCUCUCCUCUUUUUUUUUGUACGUCUUUAUUAUUAGUAAUACUAUUAUCAUUUCAUUAGUCUUAUUUUUAUUAUGAAUUAUUAAAUUUUCGCCCCCAGGCCCCGAUGUGGGUCAGUGACCUGUGCCUGAGUGGGCUAAUCCCAGUGUGUGUAAAAAAAAAAAAAAAAAAAAAAUUUAGCUAUGGUUAACACGUUUAAUAUUUUAUUUGGCUGUCAGAGGAUUUUAUUCAGCAAAUGGAGGAUGGAUACACUAGUGGUUAGCAGACUAUUUUUCCUAACCCUUUCACUGUGGGGAAGCCUUUUUUUUAUAUUUUAUUUGGCUAAUGCCAGACAAUUUUAUUCAGCAGAGAGGGGACCCCAUACACUAUUAGUUAAGCAAGGGCAUUCUGCCGCUUAAAAACCAGCAUUCACAUACAAGCAGCUGGACCAGCUCAACUAUUGCUGGGCUACUCAUAUGAAAGGGCCCAAGGUAAAAGAAGUUACUGGGAAAUUUAAAUAAUACUCAAGAAAUUAACAUGUGAAUCAGCCUAACAUGAAUUCCCAAUGAGGUGCAGUUUU